CCAAUAGCGUAUAUUAAAGUUGUUGCAGUUAAAAAGCUCGUAGUUGAAUUUCGGGAUCAGCGCGUCGGUCGUGCCUCCGGUAUGCACUGGCGCCGCUGGUUUCUCCCUUCUGAGGAACCGUGAUGUCAUUAAUUUGGUGUCGCGGGAAAUCAGGACUGUUACUUUGAAAAAAUUAUAGUGUUUAAAGCGGGCACGCGCUUGAAUACAUUAGCAUGGAAUAAUGAAAUAGGACGUUCGAUCUUAUUUUGUUGGUUUCUAGGAUUGACGUAAUGAUUAAUAGGGAUAGUUGGGGGCAUUAGUAUUCAAUUGUCAGAGGUGAAAUUCUUGGAUUUAUUGAAGACUAACUACUGCGAAAGCAUUUGCCAAGGAUGUUUUCAUUAAUCAAGAACGAAAGUUAGGGGAUCGAAGACGAUCAGAUACCGUCGUAGUCUUAACCAUAAACUAUGCCGACUAGGGAUCGGAUGAUGUUAAUUUUAUAAUGACUCAUUCGGCGCCUUACG
rnacentral:rRNA from 1 species